rnacentral:rRNA from 1 species
AGAGUUUGAUCCUGGCUCAGAAUCAACGCUGGCGGCGUGCCUAACACAUGCAAGUCGAACGAGAAAGUGGAGCAAUCCAUGAGUAAAGUGGCGACCGGGUGAGUAACACGUGACUAACCUACCUUCGAGUGGGGGAUAACCUCGGGAAACCGAGGCUAAUACCGCAUAACAUCGCAAGAUCAAAGCAGCAAUGCGCUUGAAGAGGGGGUCGCGGCUGAUUAGCUAGUUGGCGGGGUAACGGCCCACCAAGGCGAAGAUCGGUAUCCGGCCUGAGAGGGCGCACGGACACACUGGAACUGAAACACGGUCCAGACUCCUACGGGAGGCAGCAGUGGGGAAUUUUGCGCAAUGGGGGAAACCCUGACGCAGCAACGCCGCGUGGAGGAUGAAGCCCCUUGGGGCGUAAA